rnacentral:lncRNA from 1 species
AUGAGCCUGGACAAAGAAGGCGUUCCAGACCAUGUGAUCGGCUCCUCCUGCCAGAUGAGGACUCUGGACAGCGGCAUCGGGACCUUCCCCCCCCCGCGACCCCUGGGCCGCCGCCCCCUCCCCCAGUCCCAGUCCAGCCCCGGGGGGGGGGCGGUGCGGGCAGGAGGCCCCUGCAGCCCCCUGGGACCGCCUCCUCCGCCUCCUCCACCUCCUCCACCUCCUCCACCCCCACGACAGCUCCCUGGGAGCGCCGCGUCGGUGAGGACCUCGGACAGUGUGGCCCCGCCCCCCACGGAGCCUCACAACACAGCGCCCUCCUCAGAUUGCUCCGGAAGACAUCGGUUGAGUCUAAAGGGUUCUCGUGAAGCCAUCUCCACCACCAAUCAAGAGGAGGAGGAGGAGGAGGAGGAGGAGGAGGAGGAGGAGGAGCGAGAUGGGGGAAUGAGGAGCCAGCGCCUCCUAUCUCCUGACAGGACCCUGCGAGCGUGCACGUACACGGGCACCAGCACUGAGACGCAAGCUGAGGACCACAGUCCAGGGCUGAAAGCGCUGAGUUUGGAGCCGCCGCUGUCCAUCAUGGACUGUUACCGUGACGACGCCUUCCGUCGUCUGGAGAUGGGGGGCGGGGGUUCCCCCACUACGACCAAUCAGGGGACAGCCUCGACGUAG